GCGGGCGUAGUUCAGUUGGUAGAACGCCUCCUUGCCAAGGAGAAGGUCAUGGGUUCGAGUCCCAUCGCCCGCU
rnacentral:tRNA from 1 species